GACGAACGCUGGCGGCGUGCUUAACACAUGCAAGUCGAACGGAAAGGCCCUGCUUUUGUGGGGUGCUCGAGUGGCGAACGGGUGAGUAACAAGUGAGUAACCUGCCCUUGACUUUGGGAUAACUUCAGGAAACUGGGGCUAAUACCGGAUAGGAGCUCCUGCUGCAUGGUGGGGGUUGGAAAGUUUCGGCGGUUGGGGAUGGACUCGCGGCGUAUGAGCUUGUGGGUGGGGUAGUGGCUUACCAAGGCUUUGACGGGUAGCCGGCCUGAGAGGGUGACCGGCCACGUUGGGACUGAUAUACGGCCCAGCCUCCUACGGGAGGCAGCAGUGGGGAAUAUUGCACAAUGGGCUGAAGCCUGAUGCAGCACCGCCGCGUGCGGUAUGACGGCCUUCGGGUUGUAAACCGCUUUCGCCUGUGACGAGGCGUGAGUGACGGUAAUUGGUUAAGAAGCACCGGCUAACUACGUG
rnacentral:rRNA from 1 species